GACGAACGCUGGCGGCGUGCUUAACACAUGCAAGUCGAACGGAAAGGCCCUGCUUGUGUGGGGUGCUCGAGUGGCGAACGGGUGAGUAACACGUGAGUAACCUGCCCUUGACUUUGGGAUAACUUCAGGAAACUGGGGCUAAUACCGGAUAGGAGCUCCUGCUGCAUGGUGGGGGUUGGAAAGUUUCGGCGGUUGGGGAUGGACUCGCGGCUUAUCAGCUUGUUGGUGGGGUAGUGGCUUACCAAGGCUUUGACGGGUAGCCGGCCUGAGAGGGUGACCGGCCUCCUUGGGACUGAGAUAGGGACCAGACUCCUACGGGAGGCAGCAGUGGGGAAUAUUGCACAAUGGGCGGACGCCUGAUGCAGCAACGCCGCGUGCGGGAUGACGGCCUUCGGGUUGUGAACCGCUUUCGCCUGUGACGAAGCGUGAGUGACGGUAAUGGGUAAAGAAGCACCGGCUAACUACGUG
rnacentral:rRNA from 1 species